GUAUUCCCUGUGAGAUGAUAAAAGUUAUAUAACCUAAUUCAAUGGCAUAUCAACUCUAUUAGUUACGUUAACUCGAUUACUUAAACUGACUUCAUAUAUAAAACUGUACAACUUUUCUGAAGCUCAAAGCGAAACAGAAAUAAGACGGUAUAACAUGGACUCCAAACUCAUUUUAAUUUUCUUGGCUAUCAUGACACUUUGCACUGUUGUUAUAGCCUACGACAAAGAGAAGUGCGAUGCUCCCCCUAGCGGAAGAGGUAGGUGCGAGUUCUAUAAUGGGAAGUGGGUCUAUAAAGAAGAAAAAUGUCAGCCAUUUGUAUAUGGCGGAUGCGAUUACUCACCCCACUUAUUUAAUUCAUUAGAAGAAUGCAAGACAGCUUGCCAAAAAUAACGCAUUAAACCAAAAUAAAAUUAACUGAGAAGAAAAACUUUA